UACGAAGGGGACUAGCGUUGUUCGGAAUUACUGGGCGUAAAGGGCGCGUAGGCGGAUAUCUAAGUUGGGGGUGAAAUCCCGGGGCUCAACCUCGGAAUUGCCUUCAAAACUGGAUAUCUUGAGUUCGGGAGAGGUGAGUGGAACUCCGAGUGUAGAGGUGAAAUUCGUAGAUAUUCGCAAGAACACCAGUGGCGAAGGCGGCUCACUGGACUGUAACUGACGCUGAGGCAUGAAAGCGUGGGGAGCAAACAGG
rnacentral:rRNA from 1 species